AGAAUGCAUGUGCUAAUUGCCUAUUUGACAAAUAGAUAGUGGCGUGAAUGUCCUACUGACAAUAGCAUGCAGCACAGUGGAAACACAUGAUGUUCUUUGUCAAUUCAAUGCCAUUUAGUAAUUUGUUUCCUUUCUUCAAAUCGGAAUGCAGAACAAAUACAAAUCAAUACCAAAAGAGAAUUCCGCAAUUUGGUAUUAUAUCUUUCGAAGUCUUUCUCUUACCCAUUCACGCAAUCAAUUCAAAGCCAAGAUUGAGUGAAUAAAUGCCACAGAUAAUUACAGAAAUUAAGGGACAAAACAAGUUUCCUACAAUCUCGAAUUAUCAAGUACCCUACGAAGUUCAAGAUUUUCACCGCUGUCCCCACGUGAACAAGACACUAAAAGUUAGUUAGUGAA
rnacentral:misc_RNA from 1 species